UAGGCGGUUGGUCGCNUCUGCUGUGAAAGGCUGGGGCUUAACCCUGGUUUUGCAGUGGNUACGGGCUAACUAGAGUGCAGUAGGGGAGACUGGAAUUCNUGGUGUAGCGGUGGAAUGCGCAGAUAUCAGGAGGAACACCGAAGGCGAAGGCAGGUCUCUGGGCUGUAACUGACGCUGAGAAGCGAAAGCAUGGGGAGCGAACAGGAUUAGAUACCCUGGUAGUCCAUGCCGUAAACGUUGGGCACUAGGUGUGGGGGACAUUCCACGUUUUCCGCGCCGUAGCUAACGCAUUAAGUGCCCCGCCUGGGGAGUACGGCCGCAAGGCUAAAACUCAAAGAAAUUGACGGGGGCCCGCACAAGCGGCGGAGCAUGCGGAUUAAUUCGAUGCAACGCGAAGAGCCUUACCAAGGCUUGACAUAUACUGGACUGCGUCAGAGAUGGCGUUUCCCUUCGGGGCUGGUAUACAGGUGGUGCAUGGUUGUCGUCAGCUCGUGUCGUGAGAUGUUGGGUUAAGUCCCGCAACGAGCGCAACCCUCGUUCUAUGUUGCCAGCACGUGAUGGUGGGGACUCAUAGGAGGCUGCCGGGGUUAACUCGGAGGAAGGUGGGGAUGACGUCAAAUCAUCAUGCCCCUUAUGUCUUGGGCUUCACGCAUGCUACAAUGGCCGGUACAGAGGGUUGCGAUACUGUGAGGUGGAGCUAAUCCCUAAAAGCCGGUCUCAGUUCGGAUUGGGGUCUGCAACUCGACCCCAUGAAGUCGGAGUCGCUAGUAAUCGCAGAUCAGCAACGCUGCGGUGAAUACGUUCCCGGGCCUUGUACACACCGCCCGUCAAGUCACGAAAGUUGGUAACGCCCGAAGCCG
rnacentral:rRNA from 1 species